GCCCUCGUAGCUCAGUGGAUAGAGCAUUCGCCUCCUAAGCGAAGGGUCACAGGUUCAACUCCUGUCGAGGGCA
rnacentral:tRNA from 2 species